CCUACGGGAGGCUGCAGUGAGGAAUAUUGGUCAAUGGACGAGAGUCUGAACCAGCCAAGUAGCGUGAAGGAUGACUGCCCUAUGGGUUGUAAACUUCUUUUAUAUGGGAAUAAAAUGUUCCACGUGUGGGAUUUUGUAUGUACCAUAUGAAUAAGGAUCGGCUAACUCCGUGCCAGCAGCCGCGGUAAUACGGAGGAUCCGAGCGUUAUCCGGAUUUAUUGGGUUUAAAGGGAGCGUAGGUGGAUUGUUAAGUCAGUUGUGAAAGUUUGCGGCUCAACCGUAAAAUUGCAGUUGAAACUGGCAGUCGUGAGUACAGUAGAGGUGGGCGGAAUUCGUGGUGUAGCGGUGAAAUGCUUAGAUAUCACGAAGAACUCCGAUUGCGAAGGCAGCUCACUGGACUGCAACUGACACUGAGGCUCGAAAGUGUGGGUAUCAAACAGGAUUAGAGACCCCAGUAGUC
rnacentral:rRNA from 1 species